rnacentral:sRNA from 1 species
UCGCUGGAUUCGGAGGUGACCAUAAAGCCAGUCUCUGAUGCCUACACACAGACUAUACAGUGUGAUGGAAUACAGGCAAAACUUGAAUGAUUAUGAAAUAGGAUUCUAUCCACUGGCUGGCAUGCUGGAAAGCUUUAUGGUCCUCUUGGCACGUGCUACAGUGGGGACUCACAACAGCUCUAUGACAUCAUUGGAAGAGUGAAGUAAAGUACUGGAUGUUUAACUGUAAAGGAGCUUCUUCAAAUGGGAGAAAAGAUGGGAGAUACAUGCCAACAGUGAGUCCAUGCAGAAGUGGCAUCAUAACUGGUGACUAGAAGUGGAAUAAGAGAUUCUUCCUGCAUCACGACUGCUAUAGCACACAGUCAGAAGGAGCAAGUGACUCACUCACACAGCUGCUUGGAGCUACAAUGCCACACAGCCUUUGUCGACCAGCUAUUCCCUGUGAAAGAAGCCUAGUCAGUUUGACCUCUCUUCUGCAUCUUCUAAACUCUUGGCCAAGAUCUUCUGGAAGAUGCUUUCUCACAUCUGAUUUCCUACAAAGUGCCUGCCACAAUCUCGCCCAUCUCUCGCCAACUGGUAUACUGUCUCUGCUUUCCAAAAUUCUAGAUACUCAACAUCAACUCCUACAGAAGACAAAGAAUUAAUAAGAAGUAUGUCCAGAAGACACUAGCCCCACUCUUCCAACCCCAUCACUGUGCUCAGUAGAUUCCCUGGUUUAUAAUCCAACUGGAAGAACUGAGGCAGGCACUCCUGUAUGCUGGCUCCCCAUAUAUGACCAACCACUCACAUAUAAGGUCGGAUGCUCUCCUUUCUCUCUGUCAUCAAGCCACUGAAUUCAUCAGGAAGGAGUCCUCUAUCAGCUCAAGUGCUUUGAGCUCAUGUGCUCUGGGCUCCCCACUAUUUAGUGGGCAGCUCCAGCAGGCAUUGAAAUAGGCUCUUAUCUCAACUUGAACCCGAAACCUGUGACUCUACUUUAUUCUCCAAAUACAGAAGCCCAAAAACCAAGAAGUAGGAAGGUAAUGUCAGUGAUGUCAGUGGUACAGCACUGCGCAUGGUGUAUGGAUGCAUCCCUCUGCGUUGUAAAGAAGAAAAGUCUUCACUCAGAAGUGGGCACCUGCACUGAAAAUUCAUGGAGUUAGAAUACAGGGAUGCGCCUGAUCCAUUCAAUGGUGCAAGAUUGGAGACAGGAUUCUUCCCCAGAAGAAAACCUUAUUAAGAGUUCCAAUGGAGACUGCAGCCUGACUGAUGGUGCUCACAUUUCUUCAACAUCAGUGAGACCACCCUUGGCACAAGUGAGAAUGAUACGGUCAACCGGAAGGAUGGGAACACAACAGGAAGAUGGGCCUUUGGCAUGCCUGUGGGAAACUAUCUUGAUUAGAUUAAUGGAGGUGGAAAGAUUCUCCCACCAUAGGUGUCACCAUUCCCUAGACAAGGCAUCCUGGAGUAUAUACAAGUGGAAAAGGUCACAAAAUCUACCUUAUUAUGAGGGUGGACAUGCAAGCUUCAGUCAAAGGCUGUUCUACAGUGAGAAUCUGUGGGAUUCUUCAACGGUGUCUAAGAUGAUGAACAGCAAUGGAAGCCAUGGAAGUGUCCCACAUUAAAAUGAGGGGGAAAGCUGCAAAGGUGGAUACUGGAAAAGAGCAGAAGAUCCUGGGGAUGGUAAUGUCCUCCUAUUUUCAGAAAGCUGCACAUUCUAAGCAUUGCUGGACUUUAGAGAAAAACCCUGAAAAUAUCAAGCAAAUAAGAUCUGUAUCAGCUGGUGAAAUAUA